AGCACGAGUACAACGGCGAGCUGCAGCAGACGCUGAUCCGCGGCCUGGGCGAGCGUCAUCUCGAGAUCAUCGUGGGGCGGCUCGCCCGCAAGUUCGGCGUGCACGCCCAGACCGCAAAGCCGAAGGUCGCCUACCGUGAGACGUUCAAGGGAAAAGCGGAAGGCCAGGGGAAGCACAAGAAGCGGACCGGUGGCCGGGGCCAGUACGGCGACUGCUGGAUCCGCAUCGCGCCGCUCCCGCGCGGAUCCGGAUUGCAGUUCGUCGACGAAAUCGUGGGUGGCGUCGUCCCGCGGCAGUACAUCCCGGCGGUCGAGCGGGGGAUCCAGGAGGCCGCGGCGCGCGGUCCCGUGG
rnacentral:misc_RNA from 1 species